GAGUUGGUACAAAUCCUGUAGAGCGGAUGCCAGGAUGAGGGCUCUAGAGAAGUCCAUUAGAGGUUUCACAGCCAGAGAUUGAGAUAAGGUGAUCAAGCCAGAAUUGGGCACCACAUUUGACUUGUGAUGGAGGCGUACGGCUUCUAAAACCUGUUUUCUUGGGAGCAUGGAUUUGGUAUCAGAUAUGUAAAGAGUCGUCUUGUUACAGCCUGACAGAACACAAACAUUUUACUUUUUUCAAAUGAUGAUCACACUCCAUGAUGCAGGCGAAAUUAGUUCUUUACCAGAUAUUCUGGACUAGUGAGUGUGUGUGCAACCAUUUACUGAGUAGUGUGCACAGCCAUCAGGGUCACCAGUGCAUAAAUUUGUGACUCGGUACAUGAGGCUACAAUUUGACACACAAGUUGAGGAGAACUACAAAGAGGAACCGACCAAAAUUGGUGGAGUCGUUCUGCAGGUGAAUUUGUCAUUCGAGCGGCAUGCGACCAAAGCGUACACAAGAGCGAUGUUCGAGCAGUUUGGGGAGAUCCUUCUUGAAGCAGGUGGUUACCGUGUGGUAGAGUCGCAGAAAGAUGUGUUGUGCAGGGUGAGGCACACGCGGGCAGGCAGUAGGUAGAAUGGAGAAGGGUUGUAAUUCCCAAUGAAUAUGAUUGACGACGGAGCACGCUUUGAAAGCGAAUGUGGCCUAUCCUUUGUUGUCAUGUUAUAUGAAGGUCAUGGAUAAUAUUAACAUGACAGAAAUAUCAGAGAUCCACAUAGAGAAAAGACGGACAAAAGAUGCAAGAGACUUUUUGCCGGAUCACUUGAAGCACUACCAGCGGGACCAGAUCAAUAGCACGUCCCUAACUUUUCGGCACAACCAAAUGUAAAUUCGGGGUUGGAACUGGUUCAACUUGUAGAUGCAAGUGCUGAGGCAUAUGAAACUCUGUUGGGGCUUUUCGACCAGGUCAUGUCGGUGACCGAGCCCUUCGACAAAUGGCACAGCGGGCUAGGGCUUGAAGACUGUGGAUAACAAUAAUGUGGCAGAUACCGGUGGUGACUGGUGAGCACGCUGGGAGAAGUGCAUAUGAAGAUGACAGAAUGCCAGGCAACACGAACCCUCUGGUUGGCUUAACAGACCAAACAAGAAUAGAACCGCUGGCAGACCAACAAAUGCCCGAGGCAGGGUGCUGUACGAGGGGAUAAGCAAGAGAAGUAGGUUCUGCAUCAUAUGCAAAACCCAGGGCCACAAAAGAACAACUUGCCCGGAGAGAGGGGGCAUCCCGCAGCAGCCGAGAAAGAACGUCAAAUGCAGCAAUUGCGAUCUUGAAGGGGCAGGAAGAAUACUUGCGAGCGGAAAGCAGGAGAUGUGGUGAGGUCAAAGCUGGUACUGUCAAGUGUUAAGUGCUAAGUUAGAAACCGAUGUGUGGCUGUGUUUCAGCUUGUGGUGAUGGUGUGUUUCAGCUUGUGGUGAUGGUGUUUUUUUCUUUCAAUUUUGCUAUAAGGAAACUGACAU